GACGAACGCUGGCGGCGUGCCUAAUACAUGCAAGUCGAGCGGACGAAUCGAAUGCUUGCUUUUGAUUCGUUAGCGGCGGACGGGUGAGUAACACGUGGGCAACCUGCCCUGUAGACGGGGAUAACACCGAGAAAUCGGUGCUAAUACCGGAUAACACGAAAUGUCGCAUGACGCUUCGUUGAAAGACGGCGCAAGCUGCCGCUACAGGAUUGGCCCGCGGCGCAUUAGCUAGGUGGUGGGGGAACGGCUCACCAAGGCGACGAUACGUAGCCGACCUGAGGGGGUGAUCGGCCACAGGGGGACUGAGACACGGCCCAGACUCCUACGGGAGGCAGCAGUAGGGAAUCUUCCGCAAUGGACGAAAGUCUGACGGAGCAAAGCGGCGUGAGCGAAGAAGGCGUUCGGGUCGUAAAGCUCUGUUGUUAGGGAAGAAGAAGUAACGCAGUAACUGGCGUUACCGUGACGGUACCUAACGAGAAAGCCACGGCUAACUACGUG
rnacentral:rRNA from 1 species